CCGACAUUGUGAAACGCUCCUCGGAGCACUACUUGGGUGUCCACUCGGAUACCCAACGUUUAAACUCUUAUGUUUAUCUCUGACAACCAAGAAAUUUAAAACUUUCAACAACGGAUCUCUUGGUUCUCGCAUCGAUGAAGAACGCAGCAAAGCGCGAUAGGUAAUGCGAAUUGCACACGUGAGUCAUUGAAUCUUUGAACGCACAUUGCGCCAUUAGGUUCUCCUAAUGGCAUGCUUGUUGGAGCGCCGAUCUUUCUCUCAUACUACUUCAUUGUAGUACGAGGUUCUGCUCCUUUUAGGAGUCAAAAGAAUGGAAGUGCACACGUUAGAUAACUCUGUGCAGUUACUUACAAUCUUUUGGCCUCCAAUCAAGCAAGGCUACCC
rnacentral:misc_RNA from 1 species